rnacentral:tRNA from 1 species
GGGAAGGUGGCUCAGUGGUAGAGUGCUUGCCUUGCAUGCAGGAGGCCCUGGGUUCCAUUCCUCAGCACCCCA